AAAAACAUGGCCUUUUGAUUUUAAUUUAAGGUCUAGCCUGCUCAAUGAAUUUUAAAUAGCCGCAGUAUCCUAACUGUGCAAAGGUAGCAUAAUCAUUAGUUUCCUAAUUAGAAGCUGGAAUGAAAGGUUGAAUGAAAAAAUAACUGUCUCUAUAAAAAUUUUAUGGAAUUUUAUUUUUAAGUAAAAAAGCUUAAAUAUAAAUAAAAGACGAGAAGACCCUAUAGAGUUUAAUAUUGAGCUAUUAUAUUUUUUUUAGUAUUUUAAAAUUUAUUUUACUAAAAUAUUUAAUUGGGGUGAUUAGAAAAUUAAAUCAACUUUUCUUUUUAAAAAUCAUUUAUUUAUGAAAAAAUGAUCCUUUUUUAGAGAUUAUAAGAAAAAAUUACCUUAGGGAUAACAGCGUAAUUUUUUUUGAGAGUUCUUAUCGAAAAAAAAGAUUGCGACCUCGAUGUUGGAUUAAAAUGAAUUUUUGGUGUAGAAGCUAAAUUGAUUAGGUCUGUUCGACCUUUAAAAUUUUACUUGAUCUGAGUU
rnacentral:rRNA from 1 species